rnacentral:rRNA from 1 species
UACGUAGGGGGCUAGCGUUGUCCGGAUUUAUUGGGCGUAAAGAGCGUGUAGGCGGCCAGGUAGGUCUGGUGUGAAAACUCGAGGCUUAACCUCGAGAUGUCAUCGGAAACCAUCUGGCUAGAGUCCGGAAGAGGAGAGUGGAAUUCCUGGUGUAGCGGUGAAAUGCGCAGAUAUCAGGAAGAACACCAAUGGCGAAAGCAGCACUCUGGGACGGUACUGACGCUGAGACGCGAAAGCGUGGGGAGCGAACAGG